rnacentral:rRNA from 1 species
ACAUCAGCGGCAGACGGGUGAGUAACACGUAGGUAACCUACCCCAGAGACAGGGAUAACCCGAGGAGACGAGGGCUAAUACCGGAUGACCUCCGGAAGGAGGAAAGGCUCAGGCGCUCUGGGAGGGGCUUGCGGCCCAUCAGCUAGUUGGUAGGGUAAAGGCCUACCAAGGCGAAGACGGGUAGGGGGUGUGAGAGCACGGCCCCCCACAAUGGGACUGAAACACGGCCCAUACUCCUACGGGAGGCAGCAGCAGGGAAUAUUGCACAAUAGGCGAAAGCCUGAUGCAGCGACGCCGCGUGAGUGAAGAAGGCCUUCGGGUCGUAAAGCUCUUUUGUAGGGGAAGAGGAAGGACGGUACCCUAAGAAGAAGCGUCGGCUAACUACGUGCCAGCAGCCGCGGUAAGACGUAGGACGCGAGCGUUAUCCGGAAUUACUGGGCGUAAAGGGCCAGCAGGCGGCUUGGUAAGUUGUGCGUGAAAGCCUCGUGCUCAACGCGAGGAAGCCGGACAAUACUGUCAAGCUAGAGGGCAUCAGAGGGGAGUGGAAUUCCCGGAGUAGCGGUAAAAUGCGCAGAUAUCGGGAGGAACACCGAUGGCGAAGGCAGCUCCCUGGGAUGC